UACGUAGGUGGCGAGCGUUGUCCGGAAUUACUGGGCGUAAAGGGUGCGUAGGCGGUACAUUAAGUCAGAUGUGAAACCCCGGGGCUUAACUUCGGGCAUGCAUUUGAGACUAAUGUGCUAGAGUGCAGGAGAGGGAAGCGGAAUUCCUAGUGUAGCGGUGAAAUGCGUAGAUAUUAGGAAGAACACCAGUGGCGAAGGCGGCUUUCUGGACUGUAACUGACGCUGAGGCACGAAAGCGUGGGGAGCAAACAGG
rnacentral:rRNA from 1 species